GGCAAAGGCGCCGCAGUGGGGGCUCCCCGCCCCCGUGGAAACUUCUGGAACAAGCAGCCGAGCUGGAGAGAGGAGAGAAACCUUUAUACCCGCAGAGGGGAGAGGAAAAAAAAACAAACCCAAAGCCAUGACACAUUGUAGUAGGAAACCAAUGGAGGAAAACAAAGUACUUUUGGGGAUUUUCCAUGCCGUGAAGAGACCGGGAGAUGGCGGCUUCAACCCCUGCGAAGGAGAAAAGCGGUGGAAAAGCACAGAAUUAGG